rnacentral:rRNA from 1 species
GUGUGCUUAACACAUGCAAGUGGUGCGACGAACCAGACUUCGGUCUGGGGCAAAGCCGCGAACGGGUGAGUAACACGUGGGUAAUCUACCCCGAUGACCGGGACAACCCGAGGAAACUCGGGCUAAUACCGGAUGUGGUACGCAGACACAAGUCUGUUUACUAAAGGUAGCUUCGGCUUCCGCAUUGGGAGGGGCCCGCGGCCCAUUAGCUUGUUGGUGGGGUCAAGGCCUACCAAGGCAACGAUGGGUAGCUGGUCUGAGAGGACGAUCAGCCACACUGGGACGGAGACACGGCCCAGACUCCUACGGGAGGCAGCAGUGGGGAAUCUUGCGCAAUGCGCGAAAGCGUGACGCAGCAACACCGCGUGAGGGAAGACGGCCUUAGGGUUGUAAACCUCUUUCAGAUGGGACGAAGGUCAUCCGGUGAAUAGCCGAGAUGGUUGACGGUACCGUCAGAAGAAGCUCCGGCUAACUACGUGCCAGCAGCCGCGGUAAUACGUAGGGAGCGAGCGUUGUCCGGAAUCAUUGGGCGUAAAGAGCGCGUAGGUGGAUCAUCCAGUCUGCUGUGAAAGUCAAAGGCUCAACCUUUGAAAGCCGGUGGAUACUGUUGAUCUAGAGUACGGAAGAGGCGAGUGGAAUUCCUGGUGUAGCGGUGGAAUGCGCAGAUAUCAGGAGGAACACCAAUAGCGAAGGCAGCUCGCUGGGACGUUACUGACACUGAGGCGCGAAAGCGUGGGGAGCAAACAGGAUUAGAUACCCUGGUAGUCCACGCCGUAAACGAUGGGUACUAGAUGUGGGAGGUGUCGACUCCUUCCGUAUCGUAGCUAACGCACUAAGUACCCCGCCUGGGGAGUACGGCCGCAAGGCUAAAACUCAA